GAUGAACGCUGGCGGCGUGCCUAAUACAUGCAAGUCGAGCGAACGGACGAGAAGCUUGCUUCUCUGAUGUUAGCGGCGGACGGGUGAGUAACACGUGGAUAACCUACCUAUAAGACUGGGAUAACUUCGGGAAACCGGAGCUAAUACCGGAUGAUAUUUUGAACCGCAUGGUUCAAAAGUGAAAGACGGUCUUGCUGUCACUUAUAGAUGGAUCCGCGCUGCAUUAGCUAGUUGGUAAGGUAACGGCUUACCAAGGCAACGAUGCAUAGCCGACCUGAGAGGGUGAACGGCCAAACGGAAACUGAGACACGGUCAAGACCCCUACGGGAGGCAGAAGUAGGGAAUCUUCCGCAAUGGGCGAAAGCCUGACGAAGAAACGCGGCGGGAGUGAGGAAGGUCUUCGGAUCGUAAAACUCUGUUAUAAGGGAAGAAAAUAUGGGUAGUAACUGUGCACAUCUUGACGGUACCUAAUCAGAAAGCCACGGCUAACUACGUG
rnacentral:rRNA from 1 species